GCUCUCAGUUUAACACAGUCCCCAGAGAAUAUUGGACUGAUAUCUGAUGAGUCUGUAGCCAAGGUCAAACUAACAGUGUUCCUUGAGAAGGAAGUUGAAUACUUGACCAAAGUGGCUUGGUGGAUCAUUCUUUUGACGGUCAUUGCGUUGCUGCUGUUGCUGGUGUUUGCAACUUUUAUCAUGUGCAAGUAUGGGCCUGCCAACUUCUUUUCUCCCAACAAGAAACAGAAUAAUGAAGAGCAGAUGGAACCCCUGUCAAACUCUAGUGCACUUCCAUAUUAAUGAUGCACUAUGUAACUUUUCUAGCCCACACACAGUAGGAAUGCUUGGUUUUAAGGGUAUGAAUGUAUGUCAGUGAUUGGUCUCAAAGAAGCCUGGCAACCUACUCAUUGACUUCUUUAUGCCC
ensembl:lncRNA